ensembl:lncRNA
AUGUAUUUCCUUUUAUCCCCCCUCACCACAUGUCCCUGUUGGAUGACCUGGACUCGUUUACCUGACAACAGAACUACUAAGACAGCGCCUCAUCUAGAUGGAGUGCAUGUGGUCUUCGGGCUGGUCAUCUCUGGCUUCGAGGUCAUAAAGAAAAUUGAAGGGCUGAAGACCGACUCAGCCAGCAGACCCUAUGCUGACGUCAGAGUGAUUGACUGUGGACAGCUGAUUACAAAGUCUGCUAACGAUGUUCUUCAAGGCAAAAGGAGGAAAGCCUUCCAUUCUGAGGAUGACUCUCCGAGUUCUUUGGAGUCUUCAUCUCAGUAUUCCUUCUCUGAUGGAGAGUCUGACAAAAAUUAUGCAUCUCGAAAGAGGAAAAGAAACUCGAAGAGUAAGCACUCAAAGAGAAAAAGAAGAGAGACAAAGAAGGACAGAGAGACAGUUAAAACAGCAGGACAUGAAAGUCAUGCUGAGGGAGAGAUGGCAGAGGAAGAUGAUGGUGAGGCUGAGCAGAAUGUAAAAAGGGAGAAGCCUGUGGUUCGACCAGAAGAGAUCCCACCUGUGCCAGAGAACCGCUUCCUGCUUCGCAGAGACAUGCCUACCCAGGAGGAGAUAGUAAAAACGGCCAUGCAGGACACAGUCGUGGCACCAAAUGACACAAAACCAACUGUCACAAAAUCUGGACGCAAGAUCAAAGGCCGCGGUACUAUGAGGUACCAUACACCCCCCCGGUCAAAGUCCCGAUCGGAGUCUGAAGGGGAACGGGGGAGCAGUGAGACUCCUCCACACUGGAAAGAGGAAAUGCAGAGGACCAAGGCUUACCAGCCCCCCAGUGUGGAGAGAUGGAGUAAAGGAGAAAGAUGGGAUGACAGAAGUGACACCCCAAGGUCUAGGUCAAGAUCAGAAGAGCGUUCCUUAAGUGAGGCUUCUGUACAUUCCAGCCAUCAUCGAUCUAAAAAAGAAAAAAAGAAAACCAAACGCAAGAAGAAAACUAAGAAACGAAAGCACUCAAAGAAACAUAAAAAGAACAAGACCAAAGAGACCUCCCAGUCUGAGAAUGAGAUGCCUGGGUCCUCAGGCAAGAGGUCGAAACACACAAGCUGUGCAGAGAGGAGACAUUCUCGAUCACGCUCUCAGUCUUACUCUCGCUCAUCGUCGUGCCACUCCCACAGAUCGUAUAGAAUAGGAUCAGAAAGGAGACGUUACUUAUCAAGCUCUUCUAGAGAUUCACGAUCUUAUUCAAGGUCCAGGAGCAGAUCUUAUUCCAGAAGUCGGUCAAGGUCUGAUAAGCAGGUUCGGUUAUCCAUGAGAUCAAGUCAUAGUCGAUCAGGACGGUCUGUUACACAUUCUAGGUCACGUUCUCGAUCCAGAUACAGGACAAGGUCAAGAACCAGAUCAAACUCUAGGUAUAGUUCAGAAACCCCACCACGUUCCAGGAAAAGAAAUGAGUUGAGAUCCCCUCGAAAGUCAAAGCCUACAGAGGGCGGUAUUUCCAAAUUGGACAAGCCUGUCCCUAAAUCAGUUCAAGGUGAAGAAUCUAAAGCCCAACCAGCAGCAUCUUCAGAGAGUGUCUCUGUGUUGCCUAUGAGUGACAGUCCACCUCCUUCUCGUUGGAAACCAGGCCAAAAACCAUGGAAACCCUCUUAUGUCCGCAUUCAAGAAAUCAAUGUAAAAUCAGCCCCAGCUUCAAAUGCACUAAUCAGCCCAUCAUCAAAUGUACCUCUGGAGGCAAUGUCCUCUCUAAAGCCAGACACGGCUGUUAGUCAAAAGAACCCCAGCAGCACUAACAAUAAUGUUCCUGAUAGGCUUCUGCAAAGCAGUUUGUCCAGGAGCAAUUCACCUACUCGAUCACGUAGUAGCAGCAAAUCAAAGAGUCAGUACGGCAGCAAAUCUUCCUCUUGCAGUAGGUCAGAGUCGUAUAAUUCAUACAAAGGAAGAACCACUGAAAAAAAGAGAAAACAUUGUAGAUCUCACAGAAAUAGCCAAAAGAGGGACACGCAUGGAAAUCAUGGUAGUGCCCAUAAAGAUUCAUCUCCCUCCUCAGAGAACACAUCAGAUAAUCCAUACAGUGCUAUCCACGGACACAAUGAUUCCUUGGUACAGAGAAACACACUGAAAGGCACAAAUCCCAAUCAAAGGAAAGGACCAUUAGUGGACAACAAUAAUGCAUCUGGAUGGGAAAGUGAAGGAGAGAACUCAAGUAAGACUAAUACUGCUCUGGAACAUAACCAACUCCCUAUUAGUGAUGAGGGACUUACUGAAAUGAAAAAGAGACAGAUUUUGUCUCGUUGCUGGGAGACUGAGAGUGACUCUGAAAUGCCAGACAAAAAGGUAGUUAGUGAUGCCAAACAUGUGUCUGAAAAAGAGGAGGGAGAGGCUAGUUCAGAAUCAGAGUAUGAACACCCUUUAUGGACCUCUAGCAAGUCAAAUCAAGGUGCAGAAAUGUCUAAAGAAUUAAAAGGUAAUGAGGAGCUGUCUGCAGACACAAAAACUUCAAAGCACAAGCACAAGAAAGCCAAGCGGAAGCACAAGCACAAAAGGAGGAACACUUCCAGGUCAGGAUCUCGCAGAUCCAAGGCCAAGAAAUCCAAGAAGCACCAAAAGCCGAAAGAGACAUUUCACUGGCAGCCUCCACUGGAGUUUGGUGAUGAAGGUGAGGAGGAUGAUUCAGUCACUCAAGCAAAACAAUUUCACAUAGCAAAUCCUGAUGCUGUCAGUGAUGGAGCAAAAAGGCGUAUAAAAGCUGGAAAGAUCAAGCACCAAGUCUCAGAAAAUAAGGAUGAUUAUCAAGGGAAUGUCGUAUCAUCACAAGAUAUGUUUUCAGGAGAGUCUUCUAAAGAUAUUGAUGAGAAUAGGAAGGUGACUGAAAGCCAAAAAUCGAAGCCAAAUAGCAAUAUUGAAAGAAGUCCAGCUCAAAGCCAUCUAGAGAUCCAUACCAAUCUUUCAGACACUAGUAACAAACCAAGAGACCCAAAUAAAGUUGAUGUAUGUCCUCCAGAAGCCAUCCCAGAAGCUAAGCAACCAGGUGCCAAAGUGAUUGGAUUUUCCCCUCUAAAAAGUAUUCGAAAUAAUGGUAGUGCGCUUGUUCCACCUCAAAUAGAAAGAGGAAACUCUGUAACAAUUGGAUCUGUUUUACCUCAAGGCAGUCAGCCAGAGGAAUAUGUACCUGGUGACACUUCUCUCUCAGCAGUUGAAAAUAAAUGGAAACCUUUGACAGGCAUGACUGUUGUGCAUGCCAUUACUACAAAACCUUUAAUUAUGAAAAUAAAUAAAAUGCAAGAUCAUCUGGAGGGAAAGGCCCAGGGUCUCAAGAUUGAGAUCAAGAGCAAGAGUAGAGUCCGUCCAGGAUCCUUAUUUGAUGAGGUACGAAAGACAGCUCGGUUAAAUCAGAGACCCAGAAAUCAAGACAGCUCAAGUGAAGAAGACUCUAUUCCAGCAACAGGAGAAAGGGCUGGAUCCCACUCUCAGAACAAGUCAAGGUCUGUGUCCAGUCACAGGUCCCACCGCAGAAGUAGGUCUCAUUCAUAUAGCCACUCCAGGAGCAGGUCCAGAAGCUACACCUACUCUUCCAGGAGCUACAGUAGAAGUAGAAGCAGGAGUAGAUACAGCAGAGGACACUCUCGUUCUCGAAGUAGCACCUUCCGAAGUUCCCGUAGCCGUACAGACAGUACAAGUCAUUCUAGAAGUCGCCACAGAGGUCGCCACAGAUCAAGGUCUGACUCUUCUGAUAGUUAUUCUAGCCGCAGUCGUAGCAGGAGAAGAGGGCAUCGGAGAAGUGAGAGCUCUGACCGCAGGUCCAGGUACAUCAUAAAUAAAUCCAUGUAUUAUUAAAACUGUCUUGUUUGAAUUUGAUAAUGUGCCUCACUGAAGCUAAUUCUCUGAUGUGUGUCUUCACGUUCAGGUCAUAUCGCUCUUACAGUCGCAGUUCCUCUAGGAGGCGAAGUCAUAGCCGAAGCAGUCGAUACAGCUGAGCUGAAUUGAUGUAGCAUUAACCCUCCCUAUCCUCCUUCAAAUGGUUUUCUGAACGAAUGUAUGUACUUUGAUGUACACUGUAUAAUCAUUUAAUGUGUAAUUCACAUACAUUCUGCUGUAUUUUUCCAAAUGAGUCUAUGUAUGAAUGUACAUUUGAAACAAAAUUAGUCACUGCUUUAUUCUGGCACACUUUUUUAGUAUUCCUAAGAAAUGGAGCAUAGAAACCCUCCAACUGUAAAGCCUAUGUUAUAUAUCAACAGCCACUUACCUCAGUCUUUUGAACAUGAAAUUCCGUGAAAUGUAAAUGUCAUGUUUUGACAUGUCAUGCAGUUUUAUUAAACAAAUCAAUGGUAGACAUGGAUUGAAAUUGUUUAGUUUUGGCCAAAUGAAUGUUUUGUGGUUGCCCUCUGUGCAUUGUUUUUUUUAUUUGUACAUCAAAACAAAACAUCUUGCUGAAUGUAUCUACUGCUGCUUAUUGAUACACCAUUUAAAUAUACCAACUGUAAAUAAAACUACAUUUGUUUGUGAAA